rnacentral:rRNA from 1 species
GGUUUCCGUAGGUGAACCUGCGGAAGGAUCAUUACCGAGUGAGGGCUGCCUUCGGGCGCCCAACCUCCCACCCGUGAAUACCUUACCACUGUUGCUUCGGCGAGGAGCCCCUUCCGGGGGGCGAGUCGCCGGGGACCACAUGAACUUCUUGAUUGUAGAGUUGCGUCUGAGCCUGAAAUAUAAAUCAGUCAAAACUUUCAACAAUGGAUCUCUUGGUUCCGGCAUCGAUGAAGAACGCAGCGAACUGCGAUAAGUAAUGUGAAUUGCAGAAUUCAGUGAAUCAUCGAGUCUUUGAACGCACAUUGCGCCCCCUGGCAUUCCGGGGGGCAUGCCUGUCCGAGCGUCAUUGCUGCCCUUCAAGCCCGGCUUGUGUGUUGGGUCGUCGUCCCCUCCGGGGGACGGGCCCGAAAGGCAGCGGCGGCACCGCGUCCGGUCCUCGAGCGUAUGGGGCUUUGUCACCCGCUCGAUAAGGACCGGCCGGGCGCCAGCCGGCGUCUCCAACCUUUUUUUCUCAGGUUGACCUCGGAUCAGGUAGGGAUACCCGCUGAACUUAAGCAU